rnacentral:tRNA from 1 species
AUUUAAGUAGUUUAAUUAAGAAUAUCAAUUUGUGGAGUUGAAGGUAAAUUUUUUCUUAAAUC